CCUCGGAUCAGGUAGGGAUACCCGCUGAACUUAAGCAUAUCAAUAAGCGGAGGAAAAGAAACCANCAGGGAUUNCCUCAGUAACGGCGAGUGAAGCGGUAACAGCUCAAAUUUGAAAUCUGGCUCUCUCAGGGUCCGAGUUGUAAUUUGUAGAAGAUGCUUUGGGCGUGGUGCCGGUCUAAGUUCUUUGGAACAUGACGUCAUAGAGGGUGAGAACCCCGUAUGUGAUUGGCUACCUCCGUCCGUGUAAAGCUCUUUCGACGAGUCGAGUUGUUUGGGAAUGCAGCUCAAAAUGGGUGGUAAAUUUCAUCUAAAGCUAAAUAUUGGCCAGAGACCGAUAGCGCACAAGUAGAGUGAUCGAAAGAUGAAAAGCACUUUGGAAAGAGAGUUAAACAGUACGUGAAAUUGUUGAAAGGGAAGCGCUUGCAACCAGACUUGCGUGCCGUCGAUCAUCCAGGGUUCUCCCUGGUGCACUCGACGGUAUUCAGGCCAGCAUCGGUUUGGGUGGUUGGAUAAAGGCCUUGGGAAUGUAGCUCCUCUCGGGAAGUGUUAUAGCCCUCGGUGCAAUGCAGCCUACCCGGACCGAGGACCGCGCUUCGGCUAGGAUGCUGGCGUAAUGGUUGUAAGCGACC
rnacentral:rRNA from 1 species